AAAGAAAAAGUAAGUUGGAAAGAUGAUAAAAGACACCUUUUACCUAAUUCUACAGACACAUUUGCAUAUGGACACGUAUUAGUGUCAUAAGAGACAAGUGCGCAUUUAGCUAGCUCCCGAGAGAGAGAGAGGCCUUUAAGCAGGAUUUUAGCUCGAAUACGGAAGAACCGGCGACGACGAUGACGGAGGAGGAGGGAAUAUCGAGGCAGGCGACAGACCGGCGCGUGCGCUGCGCUCGCUAAUGAGACGUCGGCUACGAUGCUAUCGCUUUCGUGAUAAAAGUGAAAAUGAGAACCCCGAAGCUACGUCCGAGGCAACAUACAGCUUUGUUCACUUUUUCUGAAGAUUGGAGACGAAGCCCGAGGGAAACCGAACACCAAAUGUAAAUCACUGUUUUCAUAUGUCACGUUCUGUUUGGCUGUUAUGUCUCUGUCUGUCUCCCUACCGAGGGGGUGAUCACUGUAGAAAUACUUGU